rnacentral:rRNA from 1 species
CACGUAGGGGGCAAGCGUUGUCCGGAUUUAUUGGGCGUAAAGAGCUCGUAGGCGGCUCAGUAAGUCGGGUGUGAAACCUCCAGGCUCAACCUGGAGACGCCACCCGAUACUGCUGUGGCUUGAGUCCGGUAGGGGAGCGUGGAAUUCCUGGUGUAGCGGUGAAAUGCGCAGAUAUCAGGAAGAACACCCGUGGCUAAGGCGGCACUCUGGGCCGGUACUGACGCUGAGGAGCGAAAGCGUGGGGAGCGAACAGG